rnacentral:rRNA from 1 species
UACGUAGGGGGCAAGCGUUGUCCGGAAUCAUUGGGCGUAAAGCGCGUGUAGGCGGCUCGAUAAGUCUGCUGUGAAAGUCCAAGGCUCAACCUUGGGAUGCCGGUGGAUACUGUCGAGCUCGAGUCCGGAAGAGGAGUGUGGAAUUCCUGGUGUAGCGGUGAAAUGCGCAGAUAUCAGGAGGAACACCAGUGGCGAAGGCAG